UUCAAAUUAAAAAGUGCAGCUGACAAAAACCUUCAAAACUGUGAAAAUUGCAUGACAAAACAAAAAAUCAAAAAAACCUCCCCUAUCUUGCAAUAAGGCAAACAUUCUCAGAUUCUUAGUUAAAAAAACAAUAAAAUGAACUCGUUUUUGAGACGUUUGUUUCAAUCUGAAAUAUCUUGACAUAUAUUUAAAAACUCUGUCUUUGGCUUUUGGGUCAUGUUCUUAGCUAAAUUCCUUGUGUCAUCCAUCGUUUUGCAAAGAAAAGCAUAGCCAAUUUCAGAUGGCGCUGGAGAAUAACAGGCCUCUGGGAUAUAAACAAUGCAACUUUUACCUCUUUAACUUCCGCAGGUCUCAUCAUCUUUUCGAGCUGAUGGUGAUGGAAGCAGCAGAGACUGGGUCCAACCCUCACAAAGAAUGAAUUUUACCAAGUACCAGCUCGGUUGGGCACUGAAGGUAUUGAGAUGACUGACAUCCAGUUAGUCCAACAGAGAGGAUCUGUCCUGGGGAUCAACAGCCUGAGAGCCUGUAGGGCCGACAGCUCUCUAAGCUGAAGGCCCUGAGCAAACUUUCGUCCACGUAUUUAUUUGCUCUUACACAGGUAAACAUUGUUUGAGACUAUACACCAUUCUAUAAAUGCACUCGAAGUAUUCACCCAUUCCCAUCCAUUCUAUCAUCUAUCAAGCCAGUAACUCUGGGAUAGUGGACACCAUGACUAUGGAUUCACCACCAGAAUGGAAGCAACAGCCUGGGCUUCAGAUAGGAUACCACACUCAACAGACUAUGGAGGAUUCACCACCACACUGGGAAGCAGGAACCUGAGCUCCAGAGUCUGCCACUGGUAUGUACACAGAUAGCAGUGGUCUCAUGAAGCUUCGGCACAGUCUGGGACCCUAGCUCCUCUGUAACAAGUUGUUUGGCAUGAGACCCAGUCACCAGGGCCCU
rnacentral:lncRNA from 13 species